CCCAUUUAAUUGAAGUUAACGAAACAUAAAAUAAUUACUUAUAAAGAGGUAAAAAAAUAUUUUAUUUAUGAUGAAAUGCAAAGGAGGAAAAAUAUGGCUCAAAUUCUCAUGUUUGUUUAUAUUCUGAUCAUAUUUUUUUCUCUAUUUCUUGUUGUUACUAGUAGAACUAGAAUUCCCUGCAUUUCUGAGAGUGAUUGUCCGGAGAGUACAACUAAAAAACUUUGGCAGUGCAUUGAUGGUUUUUGUGACAUAAUAGUUAGAGAAGGUUCUUCGACGGGAUGUAUUUUAUGUCCAAAAUGUGAUAGCUCAAUGAUAAGAGUUUGACUUUGUUAUCUUAAGGAACAUGUUUAAAUCUCACUCGAGAAAAUUAUUGUAAAAUUAUAUUUAGUGCCACAAUUAUGGACACUCGCGCCUAGCAAGAGUUAUGAAUCUAUAUCUAAAAUUGUUUGACAAGUAUAAUAAAAAUUGUGUCAUUUAUAUA